CAUCCAGAGAACUUGGCAGAGAUGCCUUGGUGCCUUCGGGACCUCUGAGACAGGUGCUGCAUGGCUGUCGUCAGCUCGUGUUGUGAAAUGUUGGGGUUAAGUCCCCGNAACGAGCGCAACCCCUAUCCUUUGUUGCCAGCGAUUCGGUCGGGAACUCAAAGGAGACUGCCGGUGAUAAACCGGAGGAAGGUGGGGAUGACGUCAAGUCAUCAUGGCCCUUACGAGUAGGGCUACACACGUGCUACAAUGGCGCAUACAAAGAGAAGCGACCUCGCGAGAGCAAGCGGACCUCAUAAAGUGCGUCGUAGUCCGGAUCGGAGUCUGCAACUCGACUCCGUGAAGUCGGAAUCGCUAGUAAUCGUAGAUCAGAAUGCUACGGUGAAUACGUUCCCGGGCCUUGUACACACCGCCCGUCACACCAUGGGAGUGGGUUGCAAAAGAAGUAGAUAGCUUAACCUUCGGGAGGGCGUUUACCACUUUGUGAUUCAUGACUGGGGUGAAGUCGUAACAAGGUAAGCGUAGCGAG
rnacentral:rRNA from 1 species